rnacentral:rRNA from 1 species
GACGAACGCUGGCUGCGUGCUUAACACAUGCAAGUCGAACGGAAAGGCCCUCCUUUUCUGGGGUGCUCGAGUGGCGAACGGGUGAGUAACACGUGAGUAACCUGCCCUUGACUUUAGGAUAACUUCAUGAAAUUGGGGCUAAUACCCUAUAGGCGCUUCUGCUGCAUCGUGGGGAUUGGAAAGUUUCGGCGGAUGGGGAUGGACUCGCGGCUUAUCAGCGUGUUGGUGGUGUAGUGGCGGACCAAGGCUUUGACGGGUACCCGGCCUGAGAGGGGGAACGGCAACAGGGGGAAUGAGGUACGGGACAGACUACUACGGGAGGAAGCAGAGGGGAAGAUUGCACAAGGGGCGGAAGCAUGGUGCAGCAACGCCGCGUGCGGGAUGACGGACUUCGGGUAGUAAACCGCAAACGCCGGUGACGGUGAGUGAGUGACGGUAAUGGGUAAAGAAGCACCGGCUAACUACGUG